rnacentral:rRNA from 1 species
AUGCAAGAAAGGUACAAGGACAUGGAAGCUUCCAAUCGCAAGUCAUUUACACUUGAGCAUUGUUGGAAAUUGCUUCAAAAUAGCGAGAAGUGGAAGAUGAUUGACAAAGAAUCCCCGCCGAAGAGAGGUUCACUCACCAAGAUGGAUGAUGAUGAUGGCCCAAGAAAUAAGAACAAGCCCGAUGAAAACAAGAAGGCCAAGGACAAGAUCAAGAGGGAAGCGAAGGCAUCAAGCUUGCGGGACAAGAUAGAUGCCAUGGUGCAAUCAAAUGAGUUGAUGGUGGCAAGACAUUGGAGGCAAAGUAGGAAUUGGCCGACAAGAAGGCGCAAGAGAAGCAAGAAACGUGGAAUUACUCAAGGAAGAGGGGUUGCACAAGGCCGCCAUCGAGGAGAGAAGAGCCCUUGCCGAGGAGAACAAGGCCUUGGCCAAGCUUCUUCAAGAAGAGAACAAGAUCAUGACGAUGAACUGCAAUGA